CGGCAACAUCACGCUGAAACACCGAUUCCCGUACGAUCAUCGAAGUUAAGCAACGUUGAGCCUUGUCAGUACAUCGAUGGGUGACCGAUUAGGAAUAACGGGUGCUGUAA